rnacentral:rRNA from 1 species
AAGGCCAGUGCUUGCACUGGUACUCGAGUGGCGAACGGGUGAGUAACACGUGGGUGAUCUGCCCUGCACUUCGGGAUAAGCCUGGGAAACUGGGUCUAAUACCGGAUAGGACCACAUUUUGGAUGGUGUGGUGGAAAGUUUUUCGGUGUGGGAUGAGCUCGCGGCCUAUCAGCUUGUUGGUGGGGUAAUGGCCUACCAAGGCGUCGACGGGUAGCCGGCCUGAGAGGGUGUACGGCCACAUUGGGACUGAGAUACGGCCCAGACUCCUACGGGAGGCAGCAGUGGGGAAUAUUGCACAAUGGGCGCAAGCCUGAUGCAGCGACGCCGCGUGGGGGAUGACGGCCUUCGGGUUGUAAACUCCUUUCGCUAGGGACGAAGCGCAAGUGACGGUACCUGGAGAAGAAGCACCGGCUAACUACGUGCCAGCAGCCGCGGUAAUACGUAGGGUGCGAGCGUUGUCCGGAAUUACUGGGCGUAAAGAGCUCGUAGGUGGUUUGUCGCGUCGUUUGUGUAAGCCCGCAGCUUAACUGCGGGACUGCAGGCGAUACGGGCAUAACUUGAGUGCUGUAGGGGAGACUGGAAUUCCUGGUGUAGCGGUGGAAUGCGCAGAUAUCAGGAGGAACACCGAUGGC